rnacentral:lncRNA from 1 species
UUUUUUUUUUUUUUUUUUUUUAGACAGUCUCGCCCAGGCUGGAGUGCAGUGGCCGGAUCUCAGCUCACUGCAAGCUUCGCCUCCCGGGUUCACGCCAUUCUCCUGCCUCAGCCUCCCGAAUAGCUGGGACUACAGGCGCUCGCCACCACGCCCGGCUAGUUUUUUGUGAUUUUUUAGUAGAGACGGGGUUUCACUGUGUUAGCCAGGAUGGUCUCGAUCUCCUGACCUCGUGAUCCGCCUGUCUCGGCCUCCCAAAGUGCUGGGAUUACAGGCUUGAGCCACCGCACCCGGCCAGGGAUUCUUUUAAUUUAAAUCUUUUUCUAGCUACAUUUCCUAUCUGUCCAAUUCUUACCAAACAUCCCUGUCCACAUUCUGAAGACAGGAUCUGACUGGCAGAGCUAGUAGACGCUGACUUUUCAGAUGGAGCCCUGACAAUGGCUUUCUCAGCUUGGCUGUGACUGGCAGCAGGUUUGGGGGAGAAUCAUGUGUCUCAGAACAUGACUGGCCGCACCUACACCCCAGCAGGAGUGGGGCAGGGCAGUUAUCUUCAAAAAGCUGUGUAGGUUGGGCAGUCGUUACUGACACAUCCAGUGCAGAGCCAGGAUGGCCCAAACACUGGCUUAUCCUUUCCAAAUCUCGUCUCCCACAGCCGUAAGGUGGGGGUGGUGCUCGCUACCUCACAGAGGUGUUGUAAAGAUUAGACGUAAUCUUGCCAGGGAGGCACUUUGUAAACUGUGAAGUCCUAUGCAGAUGGAAGGAAAGGCCUGUGCCUGCCUUGAUCAUAGUACUAUACAAACUGUACUGUAUUUUCAUUCCUCUUAGUUAUCUCCCUAAAGAGACUCUGAGUUCCUCGAACACAGGAAUGUGUUUUAUUUGAUUUUGUUAUCCUCAACAUGUAGCAGUGUCUGAGACACAAUAGGUGCUCUAUCACUGUGAGAUGGAUGGAUGGAUGGAGGAACAGAUGGAUAGAUGGAUAGAUGGAGGCAUGGGUGAAUGAUGGAUGGAUGGAGAGAUGGAUGGAGGGGUCAUGAUGAAUGGAGGGAUAAUGAGUGGAUGGUUGAGGGGAUGGGUGGAUGGAUGGAGGAAAGAACAGAUGGAUAGAUGG